GGCAGAGGUUGCAGUAAGCCAAAGUUGUGCCACUGAACUCCAGCCUGGGCGACAGCAGGAGACUCCAUCUCGAAAAACAAGUCCUGACAAUGCACCACGAUUUAGUACUAGUAAUAUUAAGACACCAUCUUGUGACUGGGAAAGGGAAAUGAGAGAGAAGGAAAUACUAGAAGAGAAGAGAACAUUGGAAUACAGAGCAGAAAACAGUAAAACUUUUAGCUUCCCCAGUCUUCUGUUAACUCCAGAAGUGACGCAUUUGCUUAAGGAUGUCCCUUCCCACUUACAGUCUCAGUCAAAUACAGAUACAGGGAAAAUAUUCUCAGCCACUCCAAUAAAGGUAGCGAUAAACCCGAAGAAACCCCUCCCCAACCUUAAACAGUAUUCUCUAUGACAGGAAGUUAUAGAUGGAAUCGCCCCUACCAUACAAGAUUAACUGAGAAGGAGACUCACUAUUCCCUGCACAAGCCCCUGCAACAGCCCUAUAUUCUCUGUAAAAACAAAAACAAAAAUAAACAAGCCAGAGGGGAUGGACAUUUAUACAGGACUUGAGGACAGUAGGUAAUAUUGCAAUACCCAGACACCCAAUAAUCCCCAACCCACAUAUCCUUCUAUCAGCUAUACCCACUACCAGCCAGUAUUUCUCAGUUGCAGAUCUCUGCCGUGCCUUCUUUAGUAUUCUUGUAGAUCCAGACAGCCGGUAUUUGUUUAGCUUUACUUGGAAAGAAGGGCAAUAUAUGUGGACUGUAAUGCCUCAAGAGUAUACAGAAAGUCCCACUUACUUUUCCCAAAUAUUAAAAGCUGAUUUAGAGGAUUUAAUUUUUCCCCAGGGCUCAACACUCAUUCAGUAUGUAGAUGACCUUCUCCUUUGUUCAGACACACCAUCUUCCUCCCAUGAAGAUAGUCUAUAUUUACUCAAACAGCCACCAAGGGACACAAAGUGUCCAAAGACAAACUUCAGCUAUGCUUGCUGCAAGUUAAGUAUUUGGGGGCAUAUUAUCUCAGCCAAAGGACUGAGGAUUAACCCUGACAGAGUGAGAAGAAUUUUAGCUUUCCCAAUGCCUGUCACUAAUAAACAAUUUAGAGGAGUCUGGGUCCUGCCUGGCUAUUGUAGAAACUGGAUUCCAAAUUCUUUAUGACUCAAACUCUGUAGGCAUACCUAAAAAAUAAACAACUCGAUCCUGUCUUGUGGAGUCCUGAGGGACAAUCAGCUGUACAACAAAUAAAGGAAAUUCUAACUAAUGCCCCAGCCUUAGGGCACCCAAACUACAAACUGCCUUUCUCCCUUUUCAUACACGAAACUGGAGGUAAUGCCUCCAGGGUACUGAUCCAGAAACAUGGUGAUCAUCAGAGACCUCUAGGCUAUUAUAGCCAACACCUGGACCCGGUGGCGAGAGGGUUGCCUCCUUGUGUGAGAGUAAUAGCAACCAUGGCCCUUCCGUACACGUCUGUUGGAGAAAUAAUUAUGGGUUCGCCCCUUACCAUUUCUGUGCCACAUUCUCUUGAGACCCUUCUAAACUCUCAUCAUACUCAACGUGUGUCUGUCAACCGGUUAGCUUCUUAUCAAAUUUUGCUUGUACCAUCUUCCAAUAUUACUACUUCCCAGUAUAAUAAUCUUAAUCCGGCCACUCUCUUGCCAGGCCCUUCCCACAAGGCCCCUCGUGACUGUGUUCUGAUGACUGACUGACUUCUCACCUCCAGGACAGACCUGCAAGAGAUGCCACUGGAUAAUGCUAAACUAGAAUGGUAUACAGAUGGCUCUUAUUGAAGAGGAGAGGAUGGAAAUUUUGGAGCAGGAUAUGCUCUGGUUUCCUUACUAGAGGUAAUUAAAGCUGGUCCUCUUCCCCAAGUGAGAUCAUCUCAAGUGGCCGAGUUGAUUGCCCUGACCCAAGCUUGUCAACUGGCAAAAUAUAAGGCUGCAAACAUUUACACUGACAGCUGCUAUGCUUUCGGGGUUUCCAUGACUUUGGAUGCUAUGGAAAGACAGAGGAUAUUUAGCCUCCUCAGGCCAACCCAUAAAAAAUGUACAGUAAGUAUCAGAGCUGUUAGAAGCUAUUCUAAAACCCAAAUGUUUGGCAAUUAUAAAAAUCCCAGUCACUCAAAAUUAGACACCACAGAAAGGGUAACAAUCGGCUGAUGCCACAGCUAAAAAAGCAGCCCCCGAGCCACCAGCCCCGAUCCAGGAAAUGGCCAUAAAACCCGAAACACUUAGAAACAUGGUGAAAGAAACGCAGAGCAUAGCUCCUACAAAGAGAAAUCUGCUUGGAAACGGUCAGGGAGAUAUUUUUCUCCUGAAACUGAAAUAUAGUAUGGACCUAAUAACCCAUUAUUCCAGUGGGAUGCCAGGUGCCCCUUAUGGAAUAUGUCCAUAAUCUAACCCAUUGUAAUCCAGAUAAAAUGAUAUCCCGCUAUAAACGGUAUUACUGGAAGCCGCCCUUCACCGUGGUAUAAACGGUACUACUGGAAGCCGCCCUUCACUGUGGUAUAAACAGUAUUUCUGGAAACUGCCCUUCACUGUGG